UACAGAGGGUGCGAGCGUUAAUCGGAAUUACUGGGCGUAAAGGGUGCGUAGGUGGUUAUUUAAGUCAGAUGUGAAAUCCCUAGGCUCAACCUAGGAAUUGCGUUUGAGACUGGAUAGCUAGAGUGCAGUAGAGGGAAGUGGAAUUUCCGGUGUAGCGGUGAAAUGCGUAGAUAUCGGAAGGAACAUCAGUGGCGAAGGCGGGUUGCUGGGCUGACACUGACGCUGAGGCGCGAAAGCCAGGGGAGCGAACGGG
rnacentral:rRNA from 1 species